UGGGGGAUAACGUUCGGAAACGAACGCUAAUACCGCAUACGUCCUACGGGAGAAAGCAGGGGACCUUCGGGCCUUGCGCUAUCAGAUGAGCCUAGGUCGGAUUAGCUAGUUGGUGAGGUAAUGGCUCACCAAGGCGACGAUCCGUAACUGGUCUGAGAGGAUGAUCAGUCACACUGGAACUGAGACACGGUCCAGACUCCUACGGGAGGCAGCAGUGGGGAAUAUUGGACAAUGGGCGAAAGCCUGAUCCAGCCAUGCCGCGUGUGUGAAGAAGGUCUUCGGAUUGUAAAGCACUUUAAGUUGGGAGGAAGGGCAUUAACCUAAUACGUUAGUGUUUUGACGUUACCGACAGAAUAAGCACCGGCUAACUCUGUGCCAGCAGCCGCGGUAAUACAGAGGGUGCAAGCGUUAAUCGGAAUUACUGGGCGUAAAGCGCGCGUAGGUGGUUUGUUAAGUUGGAUGUGAAAUCCCCGGGCUCAACCUGGGAACUGCAUUCAAAACUGACUGACUAGAGUAUGGUAGAGGGUGGUGGAAUUUCCUGUGUAGCGGUGAAAUGCGUA
rnacentral:rRNA from 1 species